rnacentral:rRNA from 1 species
ACGCUGGCGGCGUGCUUAACACAUGCAAGUCGAACGGAAAGGCCCUGCUUUUGUGGGGUGCUCGAGUGGCGAACGGGUGAGUAACACGUGAGUAACCUGCCCUUGACUUUGGGAUAACUUCAGGAAACUGGGGCUAAUACCGGAUAGGAGCUCCUGCUGCAUGGUGGGGGUUGGAAAGUUUCGGCGGUUGGGGAUGGACUCGCGGCUUAUCAGCUUGUUGGUGGGGUAGUGGCUUACCAAGGCUUUGACGGGUAGCCGGCCUGAGAGGGUGACCGGCCACAUUGGGACUGAGAUACGGCCCAGACUCCUACGGGAGGCAGCAGUGGGGAAUAUUGCACAAUGGGCGGAAGCCUGAUGCAGCAACGCCGCGUGCGGGAUGACGGCCUUCGGGUUGUAAACCGCUUUCGCCUGUGACGAAGCGUGAGUGACGGUAAUGGGUAAAGAAGCACCGGCUAACUACGUGCCAGCAGCCGCGGUGAUACGUAGGGUGCGAGCGUUGUCCGGAUUUAUUGGGCGUAAAGGGCUCGUAGGUGGUUGAUCGCGUCGGAAGUGUAAUCUUGGGGCUUAACCCUGAGCGUGCUUUCGAUACGGGUUGACUUGAGGAAGGUAGGGGAGAAUGGAAUUCCUGGUGGAGCGGUGGAAUGCGCAGAUAUCAGGAGGAACACCAGUGGCGAAGGCGGUUCUCUGGGCCUUUCCUGACGCUGAGGAGCGAAAGCGUGGGGAGCGAACAGGCUUAGAUACCCUGGUAGUCCACGCUGUAAACGGUGGGUACUAGGUGUGGGGUCCAUUCCACGGGUUCCGUGCCGUAGCUAACGCUUUAAGUACCCCGCCUGGGGAGUACGGCCGCAAGGCUAAAACUCAAAGGAAUUGACGGGGCCCCGCACAAGCGGCGGAGCAUGCGGAUUAAUUCGAUGCAACGCGUAGAACCUUACCUGGGUUUGACAUGGAUCGGGAGUGCUCAGAGAUGGGUGUGCCUCUUUUGGGGUCGGUUCACAGGUGGUGCAUGGCUGUCGUCAGCUCGUGUCGUGAGAUGUUGGGUUAAGUCCCGCAACGAGCGCAACCCUUGUUCACUGUUGCCAGCACGUUAUGGUGGGGACUCAGUGGAGACCGCCGGGGUCAACUCGGAGGAAGGUGGGGAUGACGUCAAGUCAUCAUGCCCCUUAUGUCCAGGGCUUCACGCAUGCUACAAUGGCUGGUACAGAGAGUGGCGAGCCUGUGAGGGUGAGCGAAUCUCGGAAAGCCGGUCUCAGUUCGGAUUGGGGUCUGCAACUCGACCUCAUGAAGUCGGAGUCGCUAGUAAUCGCAGAUCAGCAACGCUGCGGUGAAUACGUUCCCGGGGCUUGUACACACCGCCCGUCAAGUCAUGAAAGUUGGUAACACCCGAAGCCGGUGGCCUAACCGUUGUGGGGGAGCCGUCGAAGGUGGGACUGGUAAU